UCGUCGUCGUCACCUUGGGGCCCACAUCCUCCAUGGUGGAUUCACUUCAUUCUCCUCUGUCCCUCUUCUGAUGAGAAUUUUGACUGGCAGCUUGUAUUAUUGAUUCCUCCGAAUCGGAAAUUGUUGCCAGAACAGGACACUGCCGAUGCUUUAUCUUCAGUGGAAUUGAAUGCAACAGCAGCUCCUCAAUUUUGCAAUCGUUGCUCUGUUUCUUUACACUUAACUGGAAAAGAUGCUGGAUACUCUUGUGCUGCUUUCUGGUUUCAUAAGUUUUUUCAGACAAGCUGAGCCUCAUUCCAAUUUCCAGCUCACCAUGAAAAUUUGCGAAUCCGUCCUUCUAUUCUCUAGCUUCUAUGCCGAGCCUGCUCUGUUUCGUUGUCUUGCAUAUAUCCCGCUCUUGAGCAAUACAACCUCAGUGGAGAAUGGCCUGGUUUUGUUUAAUCUGCAUCCCAAUUGCACUAUGCUGAAGAAAAAAGGUAUGCCAUGGAAGUAUGACUUAGCUUGGGUGGAGGAAGAGCACUGAGCAUGUUAAAUAUUCUUAUAGAAAUCUAGAAAUCGGAGAAGAAGAGAGAGAAGCAAACUAAGAUAGGCGUGACAAAGAGAAUUAGCCCCAGCGGCACCAUCCACUCCUGCCGGUUGGUGGCAUGGAAGCACCGCUCCCACCAAACCAACAUCACACCACCAGCCAAGCAUACCGCCGACCAUCCCAAGUAUUCAAUCCUUCUCCGUUUUACAUCUUCUUUGUAUGAAUAUGACACCAUCAGAAAUCUGCGUUGGAGAAAAAAGCGUGAGAUGAGAUUUAUAUGAUCUGCAUAUAGCAAACUUAAUCAUCUCAUAUCUGAUGUAGGAAAACUACAAAUCAGUGGUGAAUCUCCCCUCCCAUCAGAGUGCCUUUUCAUCAAAUUAGUUGUUAACUGCUAGAAGAAAAACACAUGAUGUUGUUUGGCGUGUAGCUUUAUAGGCAGAUUAUAUGUUCAUGUAGUUACUACCUACAUGGUUUGAGUUCAUAUUUGAUAAUAAUAGUAUUUAAUAUAGUUA